GGAUGCGAUCGUACCAGCACUAAAGCACCGAAUCCCAUCAGAACUUUGAAGUUAAGCGUGCUUGGGCGAGAGUAGUACUAGGAUGGUUGACCUCCUGGAAAGUCCUCGUGUUGCAUCCC
rnacentral:rRNA from 1 species